CCACGUUCGAUUUACUCUUUGACGAGACCUUAUUAUACCCCACGUGGAUCUCUUGCUGUGUACCGCACUGUGUGGUGCACAGCAUGCUCUAUCCAUCAUGCGAUAGACGGCGACCGUAUGUGCACCGCAUCGUGCAGUGCACAGCAGAAAAUCCAAAUUUUAUUAUAUCAUAUUUUUCGUUUAUGAGCCUAUAAGUUUUUUUCUCCAACUCCAUCAUUUAUCCAUUUAUAUAUAGAUCUCAAAGCGACUCCGCUUAAAACCGGAUUGUAUCUUUCAGUUAAGGAAAGCGUUCACCUUCCUUUGUACAAUUUUUUGUUAGAUUACCCAUAACAC
rnacentral:lncRNA from 1 species